CGUAUUUUCUCCCUACCUGAGCCCUCUAGAAUUCAGAAACUCUCAACUGGACUCCCUUGGCCUAAGGCAUUGCCCUUGGUCUCACUGACCGCAGUACCCUCUUUGGAAAACAUAAACUCACUCCACAUGAGACAGUCACCAGCAGAUCAAUGUCUACUGAUUAAAGAAGCUUUCCUGGAUUCCAAUAUAAAGCAUCAUGUUGGUCACAGUCUAGAGCCUGGUGACUGGAUAUUCUGGGAGCAUCAUCAGAGAAAGACAAUGGAGAGGGCCUUAUCAAGUGCUCCUAACCACUGACACUGCUGCAGAACUAAAAG
rnacentral:lncRNA from 1 species